GACUUAGUACUUUAAAAUAAAAGAUUUGAUUUGCAUUCAAAAAAUAGGCUCAUUGAGUCUCUAGGUCAC
rnacentral:tRNA from 1 species